rnacentral:rRNA from 1 species
GAUGAACGCUGGCGGCGUGCCUAAUACAUGCAAGUCGAGCGAACAGAUGAGGAGCUUGCUCCUCUGACGUUAGCGGCGGACGGGUGAGUAACACGUGGAUAACCUACCUAUAAGACUGGGAUAACUUCGGGAAACCGGAGCUAAUACCGGAUAAUAUAUUGAACCGCAUGGUUCAAUAGUGAAAGACGGUUUUGCUGUCACUUAUAGAUGGAUCCGCGCCGCAUUAGCUAGUUGGUAAGGUAACGGCUUACCAAGGCAACGAUGCGUAGCCGGCCUGAGAGGGUGACCCGCCACACUGAAACUGAGACACGGUCCAGACUCCUACGGGAGCCAGAGGUAGGGAAUAUUCCGCAAUGGGCGAAAGCCUGACGGAGCAACGCCGCGUAGGUGAUGAAGGUCGUCGGAUCGUAAAACUCUGUUAUUAGGGAAGAACAAAUGUGUAAGUAACUAUGCACGUCUUGACGGAACCAGAGCAGAAAGCCACGGCUAACUACGU